rnacentral:snoRNA from 1 species
AUCCUUUUAUAGUUCAUAAGCAUAUUAGGUGUUCGUGCUUCAGUGUGAGAUGUGCCUCCCACGAAUCCUGUUAUUCCUCUGGCACAUUACCCAUCUGAUG